AUUGAACGCUGGCGGCAUGCUUUACACAUGCAAGUCGAACGGUAACAGGCCGCAAGGUGCUGACGAGUGGCGAACGGGUGAGUAAUGCAUCGGAACGUGCCCAGUCGUGGGGGAUAACUGCUCGAAAGAGCAGCUAAUACCGCAUACGAUCUAUGGAUGAAAGCGGGGGACCGUAAGGCCUCGCGCGAUUGGAGCGGCCGAUGUCAGAUUAGGUAGUUGGUGGGGUAAAGGCUCACCAAGCCAACGAUCUGUAGCGGGUCUGAGAGGACGACCAGCCACACUGGGACUGAGACACGGCCCAGACUCCGACGGGAGGCAGGAGUGGGGAAUUUUGGACAAUGGGGGCAACCCUGAUCCAGCAAUGCCGCGGGCAGGAAGAAGGCCUUCGGGUUGUAAACUGCUUGUGGACGGAACGAAACGGUCUGGGUUAAUACCCUGGGCUAAUGACGGUACCGUAAGAAUAAGCACCGGCUAACUACGUGCCAGCCGCCGCGGUAAUAC
rnacentral:rRNA from 1 species